AUUAAACGCUGGCGGCAGGCUUAACACAUGCAAGUCGAGCGAGCGGCGGACGGGUGAGUAAUGAAUGGGAAACUGCCUGAUGGAGGGGGAUAACUACUGGAAACGGUAGCUAAUACCGCAUACCAUCAGAUGUGCCCAGAUGGGAUUAGCUAGUAGGUGGGGUAAUGGCUCACCUAGGCGACGAUCCCUAGCUGGUCUGAGAGGAUGACCAGCCAAACUGGAACUGAGACACGGUUCAGACUCCUACGGGAGGCAGCAGGGGGGAAUAUUGCACAAUGGGCGCAAGCCUGAUGCAGCCAUGCCUCGUGUGGGAAGAAGGCCUUCGGGUUGUAAAGCACUUUCAGCGAGGAGGCGUUACUCGAAGAAGAAGCACCGGCUAACUCCGUGCCAGCCGCCGCGGUAAUUC
rnacentral:rRNA from 1 species